rnacentral:misc_RNA from 1 species
GAUGAAGAACGUAGCGAAAUGCGAUACUUGGUGUGAAUUGCAGAAUCCCGUGAACCAUCGAGUCUUUGAACGCAAGUUGCGCCUCAAGCCAUUAGGUUGAGGGCACGUCUGCCUGCGUCACAUAUCGUUGCCUGAUGCCAGUUUCCUCGUGAUGGGUGACUGUGCAGGGCGAAUGAUGGCUUCCCGUGAGCAUUGUUGCCUCAUGGUUGGUUGAAAAUUGAGUCCUUGGUAGGGAGCGCCGUGAUAGAUGGUGGUUGAGUGACGAACGAGACCCAAUCAUGUGAGACCCCUACCGAAUUUGGCCUUCAUGACCCACAUGCGUCUUUGGAACGCUCAUGACGAGACCUCAGGUCAGGCGGGGCUACCCGCUGAGUUUAAGCAUAUCAAUAAGCGGAGGA